AUGAACCGUUAUAACCGGCGAUACCCGAAUGGGGAAACCCAGUGUGACUCGUCACACUAUCAUUAACUGAAUCCAUAGGUUAAUGAGGCGAACCGGGGGAACUGAAACAUCUAAGUACCCCGAGGAAAAGAAAUCAACCGAGAUUCCCCCAGUAGCGGCGAGCGAACGGGGAGGAGCCCAGAGCCUGAAUCAGCAUGUGUGUUAGUGGAAGCGUCUGGAAAGGCGCGCGAUACAGGGUGACAGCCCCGUACACAAAAGCGCAUGUGCUGUGAGCUCGAUGAGUAGGGCGGGACACGUGGUAUCCUGUCUGAAUAUGGGGGGACCAUCCUCCAAGGCUAAAUACUCCUGACUGACCGAUAGUGAACCAGUACCGUGAGGGAAAGGCGAAAAGAACCCCGGCGAGGGGAGUGAAAAAGAACCUGAAACCGUGUACGUACAAGCAGUGGGAGC
rnacentral:rRNA from 1 species